rnacentral:lncRNA from 1 species
GGGUCACCGGCCGCAGUGGCGAGGCAGCCAGCAUUCGCCAUCUCCCAGGCCCAACUUUGUGCCCUGAGCUUAGCGCACGCGGUGCUAAGACGCAAAGUCGGAUAAAAGGGAAAAGUGUUUCCAGCGUUUCCCCAAAACGUUCUCCCGAUAUUUCCCCAAAAUAGGAGUGGUGGAGUGAUGACACGUGAUGGAGAGAACACUCAUACGCAACACGGCUAAGUCCUGUCAAUCAAGAUUUCAUCUCCCCCACUGGCCUGGCAAUGGGGACAGAGAAGCAGGAAGGGGGCGCGAGCGCCGGAGAGGUGCUCGCGGCCCGGGACCGCGGGCACCCCCGGCCAAGGUCUGCCAAGCCCGGCAAGUGAGCCGUCGGCAGGAUGGAGAGCAGAUAAUUGGGCCAGAGGGAGGGGUGCAGAACCUGGAUCCUGGAGACAGUUGGCGAAUACAUGUGUGGGUCUUGCUGAGGAAGGACCAGCAGAAGGGAAGACUGGAAAUCUGGCCUUUUUUGGUUCGCCUUUGUCACUGACGCACUGGGCAAGUAGCUUAAUCUCUUCUGCUCAGCUUCCUCGUCUGUGAAAUGGUAAUAGUAUUUACCAAUGUCAGAUAUGGUUGCCUUUCAGGAUUUUUAUUACUUUAGUUGAGAAGGGCAAUCUUUAUGGUAGAUUGUUAUUGACUGUUAAUCUUAAAGUCAAGAGCUAUACGCAAACCCCAGAGAUAAAAAGAAAAAAAAGAAAAAAGAAAAAAAACUCUCAGGACAAAUCUCAGAAAACUAGAGUCCUGAGCACUUGUGCUCCUCUUCUCCCUCCUCUCCCUGUCCUUGCACUGGAGUCACUCCUGUUGAGACAGGAUGUAAAGAAUGCUUUUCCUAACUGCUUCUCCGUGAGAAGAGGUGCUGGGAGUGACAAGUACAGAACUCAGUCAACACACUGCCUAUGUGGCGGUGUGCGCAUGCCUCUGCGCCUGUGUUCAGAAGGGGUAGGUCUCCAAUACAUUAAUCAUUUUCAUCUCUUCGUUGUCAAAACCUUUUCUGUUGGCACCAGGGACCACCCCAUGAAGAGCAAUUUAGAAGCUUAUCUCAAGAGUUAAGAAGACCUGUUUCAUUGAGAAAGAGCAUUUCUUUAUUGCAGUUCUGGGUUGAGAGUUCUGAAAUGGGAAGGUAGGGCAAUCGGGAAGAGCCAGGUGCGCUGGCCUUGGUGCUGAAGGUAACUGCCGCACCUCUGGACGCAGUCUCCUUCAAAUCAAGGGCCACUGUCAGAGGCUGCUCCAAGAAAUGUGAUGACACCCUUUUAAUACCUCCCGCCCAGAAUGCAAGCUUGGGGUGUGUGUGUGUGCGGUGUGUAUGUGCCUAAAAUGGGGAUUGUAUGUUAAAGUCACUUCACAGUGCCUGGAACAUAAACAGGUACUCAAUACAUUUUAGUUCAUUGAAUGGAUAGUUGGAUACCUUUCUCUCAACCCCUUCCAGGAGUUACUUAUUAAAUUUAAUGUGGGAAAAUUUCAGUAAAUUAUAGUCUGAGGAUGUCUUAAAGCUAUGUGAAUUUUUUCUAGCUUUCCUUCCGUAGGAUUUAAAUAUUAUUGAGGCAGAGUUUGGACAGAGAGUAAAAUCUAUCAUACCCAAGAGCUGUUCACCCAGUGCCCUACUUUUGGAUGGUAAUUCGGUUCUGCAUUAUCUCUGGGUCCAGGCUAUGGUGAUUCCAUCUCAGGAAGAGAUGACAACUGGGACAGAGUCAUCUUGGAAAAGUACAUGUGGUUUUAAGUAAUGAAUUUAUUCUGAGGUCUCUGAGGAAACUCAUUUUGUACUGGGUUAAGCCAGUAGUUAAGGCUUCAUACAUGUCAUUUGUGGGUAACAUUUCCCUUGGGCUAAAACAUGGUCAAAAAACCAAGAACACAGGUUUCACCAAAACCUGCUCACUUUUCUGAUGCAAGGCCCAUUCAGUCAUUAAAAACUCAUUUCUAAAUAUGCGCAUGCAAAAUAGAUAUCAACUAGCAUGUGCAAAUAUGUACACUUUAAUAAGAAAAUAGGCAUAUUUGAAAGUAUUUGGGUUAAAAGUAGGAACAAUAAGAUGUAACCAGGAUGCAGUUCUUUAUACUUGCUAAAGGUGGUCUGAAGUUUUGGCUGCAAAAUUUCCAGCAGCCAAUACAAAGAGGAAACACAAUAAAUGUCAUGAUUCAUAGAAAAACA